AUCGUAACAUCACUGCUCGUGAUUUACUCUUCUCUAUUCGAUUUCCUCGUCAUUGCCUGUGUUCCUCGUUGCUGGCGUCGCUGUUGCCGUCUCCGUCGUGUUCGUCGCUGCUCGCCUAGCCGUUAGGUUCGUCCCUGCUCGCGUCACCAUCUGCUCUCAGCGUCUUCUUGGCUCCUGGCUGGGUGCUGAUCUGCUCUACUCCGCCGUGGUGCAUCACAGGGGUUGGAGUUGGCUGGGAAUUCUUUCAGUUCAAUUGAGUUAGCGCUAAGUUUUCGCCAUGCUUCCAAUUACGUUCACUUCUUUUUUUCUACUUUUCUCCUUGCAAAUUUUGUAGGUUUGCUUUCAUAGCUACAAUAUUUGGGGAAUUCUCGGAAGCUUUGUUUUGGCUACAGCUGCCUCAAGCGCUUAAACAUUUGAUGGAUUUUGUGUGCAAUAGCUAUUUCAAUGGUUUUAUCUUGUAAAGUUGUAAACAAUGGUUUCGAUGCUUGAUGGAUCUUGUGUGCAAUAGCUAUUUCAAUGAAAAACUUGUUGUAAAGUUAUCAAUAUAAUGUGCUUGAUUUUCUUUGACAAAUGUAUUGUCAUAUCUUAUGCAACUACAAGAUGCAGGUGCUGGGCGGACAUGGGAUGAUGCUGUAAACAUUGCAAUUUGGUGGAGAGGGCACCAAUGAGACCUGCUUGUCAUUUGCAAUUUUGGUUUAUAAUUUUGAAUUUUUGAUACUGGUUGCAGAGAAGUAUGAAAGAAAAGCCACGAGAUUUUGGGAUGUCUUCUACAAGUGCCACAAGGACAAGAUGGUUAGAUAAGGCUGCAAUUGUGACAAAGAGGAAACUAGAUAUCCAAAUGCAGGAACAAACUUAUGGAAACUAGCCACUGUCCACAGAGUAGAAAAGCUGAAAAUAUGAAUGCAAUUGUGCCGCUUUUAAAAUAUGAAUAAGUAUAUAGCUGAAAUCUUGCUUAUUUAUGUAUUUAUUUGUUUUGACUUCUCAGAUUAUUGCUUUGUUGAAUAGCUGAAGAGCCAGGAUAAUUAUUUUUACAUGGUGGUUAUAUCUACUUGUUCUUCUCCUUCCUAUACACAAUCAGAUCAGUAUUUCUUUUGAGGGUUUUAUGGAAAGCAGAAACAAGACUAGGAUCAUCAAGUGUGGAGCUUUGCCAGUUCUGCUGAAUCACCUUCACUCUCAAAGCCAGACAGUGGUGCAAUUGACAGUAGCAGCCAUGCUAACCCUCUCAUCCUGCAAGGCAAAUAAGGUUGCAAUUGCUUCAUCCGGUGCUCUACAACCCUUGGCUGAAUUUGUAAUAGCGGUGACAUCAGUUACAGCUUGAUGUUGUGACCACAAUCCACAACCUCUCAACCUGCGAAGAGAUUGUUCCAUUGAUCGUUGCUUCUGGCAUUAUACUUUCAUUGCUUGAACUGGUCCACAACUCUGAAAUCAUCUCCGCUGGGUGAAAAGGCGAUUGGUUUGCUCGAAAAUAUUGUCUCUUCAUCAGAGAGUGCACUUUGUGAGGCGGCUAGUGUUGGUGGGGCAAUUCGGAUACUGGUCGAGACUAUUGAAGAUGGAUCUUCACUAGGGAAAGAGCACGCAGUUGGUAUACUUUUCCUUAUAUGCCAAAGUUGCAGAGAGAAAUACAGAGGAAUGAUUCUAAGAGAGGGAGGGAUGCCAGGACUGCAUCAGUUAAGCAUAGAUGGAACGCGGAGAGCCAAGAACAUGGCUCGAGAACUGUUGUUGCUUCUGAGAGAUUACUCCGAUUAUAGUUCAAGACAAACACAAAUAAUCAUGAGCUCAUAGAGCGGAUCAUGGAAGAAAUUGAUGCAGAUGGAGAGAAAUUGGCUGAUGCUAAGCUGCGGUUAGUAAAGGAGAUGAUUGCAAAGCUGAACACAUAAUCUUCAGCAUCCUUGUGAUAAGCUUUCAACCAAGCAUCCUAAUAAUCUUCAGCAAAUUGGUGAGAUUUAUUGGCAAACAUGAAUAUAUGUAUUUAAAAUGUUAGUUGAAACUUUUAAUAUCUAUUUUAAUUAGAAUUUCAUUAGUUAUUAAGGUUUUAUCUUUUUUCUGAAUUUUAUU